GAUGAACGCUGGCGGCGUGCCUAAUACAUGCAAGUCGAACGAACAGACGAUGAUCUUGCUGCUCUGACGUUUGGCGCGCACGGGUGAGUAACACGUGUAUAACCUACCUAUAUUACUGGGAUAUCCUCGGGAAACCGGCGCUAAUACCGUAUAAUAUAUUGCACCGCAUUGUUCAAUAGUGAGAGACGGCUUUUCUGUCUCUUAUAGAUGGAUCUGGGCCGGAUGAGCUAGUUGGUGGGGUAACGGGCUACCAAGGCAACGAUGCGUAGCCGAGCUGUGAGGCGGGUCGGCGACCUUGGAAGGGGACCAGCGUCCAGGCGCCUACGGGAGGCACCAGUAGGGAAUCUGCCGCAAUGGGCGAAAGCCUGACGGAGCAAGGCCGAGUGAGAGAUGACGGUCUUCGGAGCGUAAAACUGGGUUAUGAGGUGAGAACCACUGUGGAAGUAAACAUGCACGGAGUGACGGUACCUAAUAAGAAAGCAACGGCUAACUACGUG
rnacentral:rRNA from 1 species